GAUGAACGCUGGCGGCGUGCCUAAUACAUGCAAGUCGAGCGAACAGACGAGGAGCUUGCUCCUCUGACGUUAGCGGCGGACGGGUGAGUAACACGUGGAUAACCUACCUAUAAGACUGGGAUAACUUCGGGAAACCGGAGCUAAUACCGGAUAAUAUAUUGAACCGCAUGGUUCAAUAGUGAAAGACGGUUUUGCUGUCACUUAUAGAUGGAUCCGCGCCGCAUUAGCUAGUUGGUAAGGUAACGGCUUUUCAAGGGAACGAUGCGUAGCCGACCUGAGAGGGUGAUCGGCCACACUGGAACUGAGACACGGUCCAGACGCCUACGGGAGGCAGCAGUAGGGAAUCUUCCGCAAAGGGCGAAAGCCUGACGGAGCAACGCCGCGUGAGUGAUGAAGGUCUUCGGAUCGUAAAACUCGGUUAUUAGUGAAGAACAAAUUUGUAAUUAACUAUGCACUUCUUGACGGUACCUAAUCAGAAAGCCACGGCUAACUACGUG
rnacentral:rRNA from 1 species